GCCUUGAGCCUUUAAUAACUAUGAAUGGGAAAACUCGAAUUCGAGACUUCCUCACUCAAUGCACCUUUAAAAGCAAUUAAAGACCAACCAGACUACCCUCUAACUGGCAACUUUUUAAAUUUGGGGGUGACGAACAAAACAAUUAAAAUUGAUAAACAAAUAAAUAGCUCUGCUUAUGCCAUAUGGUACAUGGUAGAUCAUAUGAUAUAAGACCCAAAAGAAGAGGCAGGAAAACCAACAAUCAACUACAAAAAUCACAAGGCAUUCCAAAACCUUAAGAGUUGACAGUUUGAAUAAAAACAAAGUGGAAUGACAUGAAACUAAAAUCAGAACAUUUUGCACUUUGCAGUAUAGGAUGUUAAUGACUGACCAUUAACAGCUCCAUAAGCACACCUCUGUUGAAUUAAAAAUGCAACAUGAAGUCAAAAACAUUAAAUUUAAUGAAGACCAUUUGAAUUUGAUCAUUGUACUAUACCUUCCUCACAAUUGUUAACUUUGGAUUCAGUACUGCCAGACCACCAGGUGGUAACCUUGGUGCACCCGUAACGAACUGGCAGAAGGCACGCUGCUGCUCAGGGGUGAACUCUCCCAUAAUCUCCAGCAAAUUAAUGAUUGCAGGACUCUUGGCUGUGUAUCCAUGAUCAAACUUUAUAUGAUCAACAAGAGUCUCAGGCUCCCACAACUCUCGACGCCCACAAAGCAAAUAGUCCAACUCUUGUGGAGAAAAUAUUUGUAAGGAUGAGAUGUCAAACACCUGAUUAAACCCAGCUCUAAACGCUUCCAUCUGCCGCACAAUCCCAGUCUUCACUGUUGCAUCGACCACCAAAGAUAUGUAGCCUUCCAAGUUAGUUAUAUCAACAGUUUCUUCUCCAGGCUUCAAAAUGUAGUCAGGAUAACCAGGAAGGGUAAAAUCCAAGUAGAGAUCAUCGAUUGGUGUCCCACGAAAAUGUAAAUUAGCAAUAGCAUCACGAUUAUCAGUUCCUGAAGACUCUAUGUAAUGUUUUCUGCAAACAAGGGUCUGCAAUUCUUGCAAAACCUUCCCAAAUUCCACAUCGAAGGAAAGAAUAUCAUACAGAUCAAGCUCUUGACCAAGCACAAGCUUAUAAAAUGCUGUUGAAAGCGGAAGGUCCAAAAGGCGUCCAUCUUGAAGAGCUUUGGCCAUUACCCGUCCAACCAACCGGAAAUACUCAACAACCUUAUAAAACUGGCUACCCUCAGAAGCAUCAUUAUUAGGAGGAAAAGGACAAGGAAACAGACCAAGCAGUGCUUGGACAACAUCUGCGUCUCCCGGAGACCCAGAACCAUUAUUAAAUUUCCCAUUUUUGUUACAAUCUUCAUCAAUUUCCAUAGUUGGUUUCUCAGAUGAUGAAUUUGACCUCCACAUUCCGAGUGCAACUUUCUGUAAAUCAUGACUCAAAAGUGUGUAAAACUCCAAGGUAGGACCCAACCCUGUGCCAACUUCACCAAAAUAUUCUACUUCAAGUACAGCCUUCUGACUAGAAUACAUCUCCAUUACUUUUGCAGCAGAAUCCAAAAUGCGGUUGCGAGAAACACGAACCUUCUGACGUUGUAAUCUUCCAACCCUCACCUCUCUUUCAUUUAACGAUCCAUGACCAUCAGCACCCUGUUGCUGUUGAAGACGAUAUAAUGCACGAGACAAUCCAAAAGCAGUUGAAUAGAAGUACUGUCGCCGAGUCUCGAAAGGGAACAAGAAUGGGCAUGCUUUUGUCAACUGGUAACACCAUGAUGGAAGACUCCCACUGCACAAUGCAAGGGCAUCCUGAAUUUGACGAGCUAAUUUAGGGGUGAGCUUGCUGUUAAUAAAUUCUUCAGCAGAAACCCUACCACCAGUAGCAUUCAGCCUAUCCAAAGUUGAGAUUUUCCCUUCAGCAAAAUUGUCCGAAACUAACUGGGCUCUCAGACGUGGUGCCAGCUGAUUCAAACCCUCUAGUACGCGAAGCAGAACUAAUAUGUUAUAAGUAGGAUUAGAUUUCUCCAAAUCACAAGGAAGCUCCCCUUGUGAGAUGCUAUCUAAAAGUGACAUCCGCUGCAAUUGGCUGUCAGCGUUCAAACUGGAAGAACCAUUUUUUGCAGACUUUGUUGUGGUGGUAGAACUUGAGCCCCCAAUAGAAACCCUGUCAGUUUGGCCAUCUGCCCUCUGGUAUGUAAUUGUAUAUAUAUCACUCCAAAGCCUGCCACCAUCACUAGAUAUGAAAUCACUGCCAGCAUACCUGUCAUCAUCAUCCUCAUCAAGCACAAGUUGUCUUUGGACAGCCUGAUAUAUGGUCAAAUGUCUAUUUAGUUGUUUCCCACCAGCAGUAAAUAUCAACUUUGGAGGAUCAUUGGAACUACCAAACAGUGGUCGUCCUUGUCGAUCUCUGCUUCCUCUUAUACCUCUGCCAUUAGCAGUUCCAAGACCAGCCAUAGCAGCAGCAGCAAAUGACAAAGCACCCCUAGAGCCAUAAGAGUUACCACCCCUAAAAUCAGUAGAAUCUGAGCCCCUAACAGCAGCUGCUCUACUACCAGAACCAGAGGCAGGAGUAGUUUGGCUAUCACUUGCUGCUGGAGCACCACUGCUAUCCUCAGGCGCAUCACUCAAUUUUACAUCAUGUACUUUUUCAGGCAUGCAAACACGUAGAGAAUCAUCUCUCAGCACAUCUUCAUGAUCAUCGUCAUCAUCGUCGUCAUCGUCAUCGUCAGAGAUGUCAUCAUCUUCAAUCACCAAUGCAUCAUCAAUCUCAACAGGAGAUAUAUCCAAUUCCUCAUCCUCAGAACUAGAAUCCCCAUUUACUGAUUUCAUUUGGGCGUCUUUAUCAAGGGCUGCUCUUCUACGGGCAGCAUUUCUGGUUUGGGGUCCUUUUUCCUCCUCCUGGGCAUUCUUCAAAACAGCUUUCCCCUUUCCCUUAGAGGAGCUUGCGCUUUUCUCCUGUGACGAUUCCUUUCUAGCUGCAUCUCCUAUAUUAGCAGAUGAUCUGGAUCUUGAAGAAUGACGACGAGUGGUUGAUGGAGUGGCUGUAGAUGGAGAUAAUCCGCCAGCUCCAAUAGGGGUGGUCCCAGAUUCAGAAUUUCCCACAGAUGCUGAGGGCUUUUGACCGGAUUCACAUCGCUGAACCCGAGGCCAAAGAAAGUCUUCAACAGCUGCUAAACUUGCUAAUGGAUCAAUAAGAACUACAUUGGAAGAAUAAUCACGGAGAGAUUUUUCUCCUUGGGCCCGACAAAGACGCAACUUAAAAGGUUGAGACAAUGCACUUAAUCCAGAAGAAAGACGUGCACUUCCACUAGAUGACCUAGAUGAAUGGCUCAGAACAACAGGAAAACGUUCUAAGGAUGACAAGGCAUUUUGAAGCUUCUGAACCAAGACAGUCAUGGGAGCUGCACUCCCUUCAUCAAGACUAGAAGGAAGGGCAAGAGCAACAAACAACUUAUAUCUUCUAAGUGCCUGUUGACGAAGCUUGCACAAAUUAGCUUCUGAAAUUCUCUCCUUGGAAAAGUAACCACAAGAAAAAUAAUUCAGUAGGGCUGCUACAACCCCACUUCCAAUAAACUCAAAAGUGGAUACACCAUCCCCCUUGCUUAGUUCUGCCAGCAUCUCAGAUAUCACACCAAUCAAAUACUCUUCUUUAUUAGCAGAACUAUCAACAGCAUGAGACCCAGAUGCCUUGGAUUUUCCUUUUGCUUUAGUCUUUUGGUCAUCAACACCAACAUUCAACUUCAUGCAAAGAUUUUUUAACUGUAAAAGAUCAUCAGUAACUCCAACCUCAGAAGCCCCAGGAUCAGAUGGAAAAUAUUUAUCUUUGAAAGCCUUAGCACAUGCACUGACUGCCAUGCGAAGAUUGGUAUUAACCAUUGGGAUUUCAAUAGAACUUGGAGGUGAUCCAGCGAUUGUUGGAAUAGGAUUCUUGGAUUCUUCUGAUGAAUUUCCUUCAGAAUUUGAGUUGCCACUGCGACGUUUAUAACGUCUGGAACGAGAUGAUGUUCCAGACACGUAAUCAUUGUCCUUGUCAACAGAGGAUGCUUGGGUAGAAGUGGAAUUUGGAUUUCCAGCUAAGACAAGCUGAUCUACAGCAUGCACAACACCCUCUCUAACAAAUAUCUUGGAGAAAGUUCCAGGAAGCUUUUCCAUAAGAAUUUCAGCAAUUUGGAGGGCAGGAACCAAGACAUGAGGAUCUUUCCAUGCUAAUACACCAGCUAAGAAACUAGAUAUGUUUGUGACGCUCAAUAAAGACUGAAUCAUCUCUGAACCGGUGAAAUACAUCAACUUUCCAAUAACUGAAAGACAUUUGUGUCGAACAGGGCUGUUGACACUGGAACCAUAUAUCUGCUUGGCAAGCAUUCAAAGCUAUUAUCAUCAACUGAACCAAAAAAGAACCUGAACAACUUCUAGCCUACCAAAACUAACCUGAAUCAUCACAGGAAGAAUAUCCAUUCCAAAUUGCUGCAGAAGCUCUGGCUGAUCCUUCAACAAUUUCUCUCGGGCCGAAACCUCAGGAAGAUUUCCAUUUAGAUCAUCUUGCUUCACAGAACUGCUUGAAGGCAACUUUUUCAUAACAGGUCCUUUCACAAACAUAUUGGAGCUGGCAGGGAGGGAGAUUGUUCCUUGCGGAAGUGGCGGAAGAAGCUCAUUUGCUAGGUUGACAAUCUCAAAAAUCUGCUCAGCUGGUCUACUUAGAGCUGGAGGAACUGAUGAGUUAGCUGAAACACCAGAGCCUGAUAAUAUAUCUUUGAGAAUGCCACUGAUUCCAAGGAGAAGUAAAGUUUUGGCUCCUAGAGGGGACCCACUCGCAAAUGUGGAAAGCAGUCGGAUUAAGCCCGUGUAUGUAGGUGGGCUUAGUGAUGCCUGUCCACCUCCAGAAUUACUAGUGGAAAUAAGAGAGGCAGCUUGUGUGACCAGUCCAUGAUUACAUAGUUCAUCCAAUUUGUCUGGAGAUGAAGCAAAUGCUUCAGCAAUCCGGGUUAAACAAACAGAAGCAUGCUCCAAUACCUUUGCAUCAUGAUAGUGAAGAAGAUUUGUCAACAGAGGAACGGCUUCCAUCACAAAAUCAGCAGCAUCUGAUGAGAGUUUCUUGCACAUAUUUGCAGCAGUAGCUAAAGCCACCCGCUGGACUCCAGUGGAGAAGAAAUCCAGAUAUGAAAGCACAGCCAUAAGAGCACCAGCUCGCAGACAAGCAUUUGGGUGCUCCUGAGAUAUCUUUUUUAGCGCCUGCAGGGACUGUUCAGCCAAGUCCAUAUAUUCAAUAGUAAGCAACCUAGCAACAAAGCAUGAAACAGCACCAUAAUGCACAACGGCCGCGCAAGAUGAAGGUAACACAUCACAUAAAUGAGUGAUUGCCCUAGCAGCAAGCAGCAUUAUAUCCGGAUUACUCUCAUGGUUCAGUAACCCAACAAGCACUGGUACAAAUGAAUCCACCGAGAAAGUACUCAAUGACUCCUCAGUUCCAAUUGAGAGCAUCUCACAAAGCUGAGUUAAAGCCUCCACUUGCUUCCCUUCCUCCCCAUCUGAUCGCAAACCUGAUAAAAUCUUCUUCAGUCUGCCGGAUUGAUGUGAGGAUGAAGCAGAUGGCAUCCCAGAUGAAGGCAGCAGAUCAUCAAGUCCAGCCCCAAGCUUGCGCAAUAGGCCUUGAAGAGCACUACUUGCUGAGGUUAAAUUCUGGUGGAAAGUUCCGAUUCCACCACCUUCACUAUCGUCGUCAUCAUCGUCAUUGGGAUUAUUAUUUCCGGAUUCCAUAUUUAAGCCCAAGCUGUCCCUCUCUCUAUCUCUGACAUCCCUAUUGUCUCGAACCCUAACGUCGUGCUCUUUCUCCUUGCCUUUGUCGGAAGAUUCGCUUUUGUUACGACGGGAACGGGAUGAUGACUCGACAGGGGUAGUAGAGUCCAUGAGUGCAGGACAAGCGCGAGUAGAGCGAGUGCGAGCUGUGGCAAUGGCGAUUGAAGGAGCGGUGGCGGCAGCAGUGGUGGAGGUGGAAGAGGAAGUAGCAGUGGCGGCAGAAAGGCGGGAGCGCUUCUGGGAGCGGGUGGUAGGACCUGAGGAGGAAGAUGAGGGGGCUGUUGAGGAGGCCUCCGCCCGCUUCCGGCUCCGAGUUUCCAUACAAGAACUAAACCGCCCCGAUUAAAUCCGCGGUCGCGAUUCACGCGGCAACGGAUCGGGUAAUAAUCCACUGCAUCUGGACGCAAGAAAACCAAAACACGCCUCAAAUUUGAGAAGGAAAAUACACUGCUCGUUUGUAUCGAAAUCAAACAAUCCAAACAAAGCACCAAUCCGAAGCCCUAGAAAUUAUAUACUAUUAAAUAAUUAGGACGAGAAAUGAGAAGAAUUGGGUGUAUAAAAUUGGGAAAUUAGGGAUUUGCGAGGAAGAGGGAGGUGGAAGAAGAAGAGAAAACCCUAAAGAGAGGGAGAGUGCGGACUUCUCUUUAUAUGUGUUGUUGAUGAUAGU
rnacentral:misc_RNA from 1 species